rnacentral:rRNA from 1 species
UACAGAGGGUGCGAGCGUUAAUCGGAAUUAUUGGGCGUAAAGCGCACGUAGGCGGCUUUUCAAGUCGGAUGUGAAAUCCCUCGGCUUAACCAAGGAAGUGCAUCCGAAACUGGAGAGCUUGAGUACUUAAGAGGAUCGCGGAAUUCCCGGUGUAGAGGUGAAAUUCGUAGAUAUCGGGAGGAACACCAGUGGCGAAGGCGGCGAUCUGGGAAGAUACUGACGCUGAGGUGCGAAAGCGUGGGGAGCGAACAGG